UACAGUUUAGGGAAGAAAGGGUUGA
rnacentral:piRNA from 1 species